CCUACGGGAGGCUGCAGUGAGGAAUAUUGGUCAAUGGGCGCGAGCCUGAACCAGCCAAGUCGCGUGAGGGAGGACGGCCCUACGGGUUGUAAACCUCUUUUGCCGGGGAGCAACGGGCGUCACGUGUGGCGCCACUGAGAGUACCCGGAGAAAAAGCAUCGGCUAACCCCGUGCCAGCAGCCGCGGUAAUACGGAGGAUGCGAGCGUUAUCCGGAUUUAUUGGGUUUAAAGGGUGCGUAGGCGGAUUGAUAAGUUAGAGGGGAAAUGUCCGAGCUUAACUCGGGAACUGCCUCUAAUACUGGUGAUCUAGAGAGUAGGUGCGGUAGGCGGAAUGUAUGGUGUAGCGGUGAAAUGCUUAGAGAUCAUACAGAACACCGAUUGCGAAGGCAGCUUACCAAUCUAUAUCUGACGUUGAGGCACGAAAGCGUGGGGAGCGAACAGGAUUAGAUACCCGGGUAGUC
rnacentral:rRNA from 1 species